UAAGAGGUCCCGCCUGCCCUGUGACUAUUUGUUUAACGGCCGCGGUAUUUUGACCGUGCAAAGGUAGCGCAAUCACUUGUCUUUUAAAUGAAGACCCGUAUGAAUGGCAUAACGAGGGCUUAGCUGUCUCCUCUUUCCAGUCAAUGAAGUUGAUCUUCCCGUGCAGAAGCGGGAAUAUAAUCAUAAGACGAGAAGACCCUAUGGAGCUUUAGACACAAAAGCAGCCCACAUUAAACACCCCAAAUAAGGGACUAAACCAAGGGGGCCCUGCCCUAAUGUCUUUGGUUGGGGCGACCGCGGGGAAUUAAAGAACCCCCACGUGGAAUGGGCACACUUUUCCUACAACUAAGAGCUACAGCUCUAGAAAACAGAAUUUCUGACCAACAAGAUCCGGCAAUGCCGAUCAACGGACCGAGUUACCCUAGGGAUAACAGCGCAAUCCUCUUUUAGAGCCCAUAUCGACAAGGGGGUUUACGACCUCGAUGUUGGAUCAGGACAUCCUAAUGGUGCAGCCGCUAUUAAGGGUUCGUU
rnacentral:rRNA from 1 species